UUCCGGUUGAUCCCGCCGCCGGCCACUGCUAUCAGGUUCCGACUAAGCCAUGCAAGUUAAGGGGUCGUAGGACACCAGCGAACCGCUCAGUAACACGCGGAUAAUCUAACCCCAAGUGGAGUAUAGCCUCGGGAAACUGAGGGUAAUUCCCCAUAGCCAUUAUAUGCUGGAAUGCUUUGAUGGUGAAAGCUUCGGCGCUUGAGGAUGAGUCUGCGGCCUAUCAGGUAGUAUGUGGUGUAAAGGACCACAUAGCCGAGGACGGGUACGGGCCUUGAAAGAGGGAGCCCGGAGAUGGACUCUGAGACAUUAGUCCAGGCCCUACGGGGCGCAGCAGGCGCGAAAACUGUGCAAUGCGCGAAAGCGCGACACGGGGAACCUGAGUGCCUUGACACAGUCAAGGCUUUUAUCAAGCCUAAAAAGCUUGAUGAAUAAGAGCUGGGUAAGACGGGUGCCAGCCGCCGCGGUAACACCCGCAGCUCUAGUGGUGGUCACUUUUAUUGAGCCUAAAGCGUUCGUAGCCGGUUCUGUAAAUCUUCAGAUAAAUUCAUUCGCUCAACGGAUGAUCUUCUGAAGAGACUGUAGAACUUGGGACCGGGUGAGGUUGAAUGUACUUCCGGGGUAGGGGUAAAAUCCUGUAAUCCCGGAAGGACGACCAGUGGCGAAAGCGUUUAACUAGAACGAAUCUGACGGUGAGGAACGAAGGCUAGGGUAGCAAACCGGAUUAGAUACCCGGGUAGUCCUAGCUGUAAACAUUGCCCAUUUGAUGUUGCUUUUCCGUUGAGGGAAGGCAGUGUCGGAGCGAAGGUGUUAAAUGGGCCGCUUGGGAAGUAUGGUCGCAAGACUGAAACUUAAAGGAAUUGGCGGGGGAGCACCGCAACGGGAGGAAUGUGCGGUUUAAUUGGAUUCACCGCCGGGA
rnacentral:rRNA from 1 species